CCUACGGGAGGCAGCAGUGGGGAAUAUUGCACAAUGGGCGAAACCCUGAUGCAGCGACGCCGCGUGAGUGAAGAAGGCAUUCGUUAUGUAAAGCUCUUUUAGCAGGGAAGAAAAUGACGGUACGUGAGUCAGAAGCCCCGGCUAACUACGUGCAAGCAGCCGCGGCAAUACGUAGGGGGCAAGCGUUAUCCGGAUGUACUGGGUGUAAAGGGAGCGUAGUCGGCAGUGCAAGUCUGGAGGGAAAGGCGGGGGCUCAACCCCCGGACUGCUGUGGAAACUGUAAGGCUGGAGUGCAGGAGGGGCAGGCGGAAUGCCGGGUGUAGCGGUGAAAUGCGUAGAUAUCAGGAGGAACACCGGUGGCGAAGGCGGCCUGCUGGACUGCGACUGACGUUGAGGCCCGAAAGCGUGGGGAGCAAACAGGAUUAGAUACCCCAGUAGUC
rnacentral:rRNA from 1 species